rnacentral:rRNA from 1 species
CAGUCGCCGCGGUAAUACAGAGGGUGCAAGCGUUAAUCGGAAUUACUGGGCGUAAAGCGCGCGUAGGUGGUUUGUUAAGUUGAAUGUGAAAUCCCCGGGCUCAACCUGGGAACUGCAUCCAAAACUGGCAAGCUAGAGUAGGGCAGAGGGUGGUGGAAUUUCCUGUGUAGCGGUGAAAUGCGUAGAUAUAGGAAGGAACACCAGUGGCGAAGGCGACCACCUGGACUGAUACUGACACUGAGGUGCGAAAGCGUGGGGAGCAAACAGGAUUAGAUACCCCUGUAGUCCCUGUCUCUUAUAC